rnacentral:piRNA from 1 species
UAUUCUUGAAAGUUAUAUAGUAGGGUUUGG